GACGAACGCUGGCGGCGUGCUUAACACAUGCAAGUCGAGCGGAAAGGCCCUUCGGGGUCCUCGAGCGGCGAACGGGUGAGUAACAUGUGAGUAAUCUGCCCUUGGCUUUGGGAUAACUACCGGAAACGGUGGCUAAUACCGGAUACGACAACCGUCUGCAUGGGCUGGUUGUGGAAAGUUUUUUCGGCCAGGGAUGUGCUCGCGGCCUAUCAGCUUGUUGGUGGGGUAAUGGCCUACCAAGGCUUCGACGGGUAGCCGGCCUGAGAGGGUGACCGGCCACACUGGGACUGAGACACGGCCCAGACUCCUACGGGAGGCAGCAGUGGGGAAUAUUGGACAAUGGGCGGAAGCCUGAUCCAGCAACGCCGCGUGAGGGAUGACGGCCUUCGGGUUGUAAACCUCUUUCAGUACCGACGAAGCGCCGAUGAUGGUGGUGACGGUAGGUACAGAAGAAGCACCGGCCAACUACGUG
rnacentral:rRNA from 1 species